AACGGAAGGUGAUGUUUAGAAGCGUGAUUCCUAUCUAAUACUGAAGCCAGAGGCUCUUCCCACACUUUCCCGAGUUUUCUUGUAGAAAAGGAGCUAUGGAUGUUUCCUUGAAAAUCAGCCUCGAUUCCUGUGACACACCCAUCACAUGCUGCUCAAAGCUAUUCCAGGAUAUUACCAAAUAUUGACACCCUGUCCUGAGUGAGCAGGUAGCAGUGCCGAGGUAAGACGAGUUCCCAGCUCUGGAGUCUUCCUACUCCAGGAGGCCAGUCCUGAGCAGUGUGAUUCCUGUGUUAUCUAAUUCAUCAACUAACUUCCAUGAAGACACCACCCCGGGCAGGUGGAUGUGGAAGAGGAGGGCAUGCCGGUAGAGGGAGUGCUGAGCCUACAGCAGGUUCCGGGUUUUGCUGGAGCCCAGAGCCUAAGAAGGAAGCCGUGAAUGAUCAGGCAGAGAGGAGGCUCCUCUUUGCACCUUGCCUUGGUUCAUUCUGGAGCCAAAUUCUCCAGGACUCAGAGGAUGGGAGUGUACAGAGGAUGGGAGCGUACAGCGGAUAGGGGGCUGGCCCUUUCUGUCCUCUCUACAGAAGAAAACAACAUUACAAAGGCAAAAUGCAUGAGGUUCGCUUGGGACCACAAGUUCAAGACCAGCCUGGGCA